CCUACGGGUGGCAGCAGUGGGGAAUAUUGGACAAUGGGGGGAACCCUGAUCCAGCCAUGCCGCGUGUGUGAAGAAGGCCCUCGGGUUGUAAAGCACUUUCAGUGAGGAAGAACGCCUGGUGGUUAAUACCCAUCAGGAAAGACAUCACUCACAGAAGAAGCACCGGCUAACUCCGUGCCAGCAGCCGCGGUAAUACGGAGGGUGCGAGCGUUAAUCGGAAUUACUGGGCGUAAAGCGCGCGUAGGUGGCUUGAUAAGCCGGUUGUGAAAGCCCCGGGCUCAACCUGGGGACGGCAUCCGGAACUGUCAAGCUAGAGUGCAGGAGAGGAAGGUAGAAUUCCCGGUGUAGCGGUGAAAUGCGUAGAGAUCGGGAGGAAUACCAGUGGCGAAGGCGGCCUUCUGGACUGACACUGACACUGAGGUGCGAAAGCGUGGGUAGCAAACAGGAUUAGAUACUCGGGUAGUC
rnacentral:rRNA from 1 species